UUGAUUACGUCCCUGCCCUUUGUACACACCGCCCGUCGCUGCCCGGGACUGAGCCAUUUCGAGAAAUUUGGGGACCGUUGAUUUAGCUUUUUUAAGUUACUUUGAUGGAAACCAACUUAAUCGCAGUGGCUAGAACCGGGCAAAAGUCGUAACAAGGUAGCUGUAGGUGAACCUGCUGCUGGAUCAUU
rnacentral:rRNA from 1 species